GUAUUAAACGUUUAAACAAUGCAUUUCAAUUUCAAUAUGUUGUCACUGAUGACAAUAAUUGGGUAAAGUUUGAUGAUGGCGAUUUUCACGUUCAGAAGAUAAGGUUCUGGAUAAAUUGUAUAAAAGGCACUUUCUGCGCAAUAACUUAUGAACCGUUCAAUUAAUGCGUUUCAAAUUCAAUAUGUUGCUAUCAGGCGCGUAGCUACAUUUACGUCAAAACACCCG
rnacentral:lncRNA from 1 species